rnacentral:rRNA from 1 species
GGAACGCGAAGAACCUUACCAGGUCUUGACAUCUUUUGAUCACCUGAGAGAUCAGGUUUCCCCUUCGGGGGCAAAAUGACAGGUGGUGCAUGGUUGUCGUCAGCUCGUGUCGUGAGAUGUUGGGUUAAGUCCCGCAACGAGCGCAACCCUUAUGACUAGUUGCCAGCAUUUAGUUGGGCACUCUAGUAAGACUGCCGGUGACAAACUGGAGGAAGGUGGGGAUGACGUCAAAUCAUCAUGCCCCUUAUGACCUGGGCUACACACGUGCUACAAUGGAUGGUACAACGAGUUGCGAGACCGCGAGGUCAAGCUAAUCUCUUAAAGCCAUUCUCAGUUCGGACUGUAGGCUGCAACUCGCCU